rnacentral:pre_miRNA from 1 species
ACUCUGUAUUAGGAGUUAGAUUGUAUUUUAUCCCAUUUACACAAAAAAAUAGGCAAAUUGAUUUUUCUACGUUAGAUAAAAAAGUAAAUUGAUCUUUCAAUUAAAAAUUUCAUACAUUUUUGCUAUUAAAAAUUGGUUUUUGUACCUUAAAAUGAGACACAUUGCGUGUAACUAUCUAGUUAUUUUAUCUAUUAUGCCAAUUUUUAAUAGAAAUGAUCAAUUUGUUUUGAGAUCUAACGAAAAAGAUAAAUUUAUUUAUUUUUUAUAAACGAAAAAAAAUACAAUUUAACUUUUAGUAUAAAGG